ACCCACAAUGCUUUGCAACAUUAUAGAAAAGGGAAGCGUGGCGUGCACGUUUCUCUUUUGUCACUGUCUAGUUGGUUAUGUGAAUUCUUGCUGUAACGGUUAACCUUUUUAAAAUUUAGGCAGAUAAUUUCCGUAUUAUGGCGCAAACAGGAGGGAUUUUUUUGUGCUUUGACAAAUGGUCGUGAACCCUGUACUGCCGUGCUUAUUUAAGAAGUAUUGCAUCGAGUACCAUGGCGGGCUAUUCCUAAACGACUUGCACGAAUGUGUUCUGCUGGAUGGAUUAAGCAGAAGAAAGCCAGAUCAACAGGGUAAUCCUGAUGAGGGGCUGAUUUUUCUCCCGAAUAUGCAUCUUGGAGGUCAAUUUUGCCGACUAAUCUUUUUGCAUGUCUGUUAAUAAAAUAUUUUUAUUUCAA